rnacentral:rRNA from 1 species
AGCAGCCGCGGUAAUUCCAGUUCCAAUAGCGUAUAUUAAAGCUGUUGCAGUUAAAAAGCUCGUAGUUGAACUUCAGGCCUGGCUGGGCGGUCCGCCUUCCGGGUGAGUACUGCCUGUGGUCGGGUCCUACCUUCUGGCGAAGCGUCAUGGCCUUAACCGGCCGUGGCGGGGAACCAGGACUUUUACUGUGAAAAAAUUAGAGUGUUCAAAGCGGGCACGCGCUUGAAUACAUUAGCAUGGAAUAAUGGAAUAGGACAGUGGUUCUAUUUGUUGGUUUCUAGGACCGUUGUA